GGGGUAGAACACCAGCUUGGCAUUCCGAAGUUCCCAGAUUCAAUUCCUGGCAUCUCCAGAUAGGGCUUGGAGAUACCUCCAUCUGAAACUCAGGAGAACUGCUGAAAGUCAGGGUAGGCAGCACAGAGCUAUACUUGAUAUAAGGUGGCUUUCUGCCUUCCUAUUCCAGGUUAUUAUUAGUUGAGCUCAAGAAAGUACUUCAUUGGCGUUGCGGCUCUCUGAUUGCGUGCAGUUCAUCAACACUCAAUAACCAGACCCUUGGAGCAACGGCGAAAGGAACAGCUCAGCUGCCACAUAUGAAAAAGCAUCUCUGCCUUGGAAACUGCACUGGCGGAGACAGGUGUUGAAAACAAAUGUGCAGUGAUUUGCUCAUUGUCUCAACCGCAGGAUAAUCAGGGCUGGGAGUAAUAGUGCUAUAUAGAUGCUUUCCGAAAGAAUGAAGCGACAUCGUCUUAUUAACUCGAAGGAAACGGGUGGUUACUCUCAGCAUCGUAACUGAGCUCUUCAAAUAGAGGGCACCUUCAAGCAGAGGACUGCCCUCUCAUAGCCCUUCAAAUAGAGGACUGUUCUAUGUACAGUGAGACACAUGCCUACUCUAGCCAGGGUGGGGAUACAGCAUAACACUUCAUUGCAGGUCCUGGGCCAACCCAACACCUUUUUGCAGCCUGAGGCAAAGGACAAGAUGGCAACUUCCCUCCCAUUCCAUGCAUAAAAGAUGACUGAAUUUUGCAUUUUGCAGCCUAGCUUCUGCAUUGCAGGGCAGGCUGCACAGGAUCCUAUAACACCUUGCUGCCAUUCUUUGCUCCAUACCCUUAGCACACACUACCUGAGGCAGCUGCCUCCUUCUGCCUAAUGGAGAACUGGCCUUGAGAAAAUCUUGCUUGUCUUUCUCAUUUCUCAUUUUGGUUCUGGCUCCUCUGCUUCUCCCUUUCAGAGUUUCUGUUUCUACCACCGCUGACAGUUUAGCUCACUUUCCUGCUCCCUGAAGAGAAAGCUUAUUGAUUCCAGCAGCAGCAAUUUGACAUUUUUCCCCAGAAGGACCUCACAGCAUUCAAAGAGGGAUCAUCCAGAUCUGUUCGUGAUGCAACUUCUGCAGACAGGUCAUCAAUGCAAUUCGUUUUUUCACCCCCUCCUCCCUUUGAGAACCCAAUAUUUCAAUUUGUUUGCUCCUGCUCCUGCUCCCUUUUUUGUAAAGUACACAAUCGGAACGAACGAAAGCAAUAUAGCUCUAAGUACGCAAUCGAGAGGAAAGCAAUAUAGCUUUGUUUCUAAGCUGUCAUACUGUGUUUCCGGUUGCCUGGCAUACAAACUGGUUUCUUUUGUUGGAUUGCAACUUAGCUCUUUCUCCCUGGCACUGUGCAGCUUCAAAAUAUAAUCAUUCUGCUGACAUUCCUCUUUUGUUAUUUAAUAUACUAUCGCUAUCAAUACAAUGUGGCGUGUCUGACACAGUUAAGACCACUUUAAAACCGAAAAGAUAUCUGAAGGGGGAAAUGCAGUAUAAGCCUGAACAUCAAUACCUCUUUCCCAAAACAAGUUCCAAGCAGAAACACACACACACACACUGCAAAUUGAGAUUGGGUCGGCCUUCCUUUUUUAUAUAUAUAAAUUUUUAUUAACAAUUUCAACAUAACAAAUUAUCAAAACAAAUCAUCUUCAUUAUUCCCCCCCCAUUUUCCCCUCCCACAACAACAAACCCUCCCUUCCUCCCCCCUAUGACUUCCCUCACCUCCUCUUUCUGAUUUCUCAACCAAUGUUAACUUCUGUAUAUUAUAAAAUUGUAUUCAUCCUUAUAUUAUCUAUCUACUAUGUUAACCCUCAAUAAAUUUGUGUAUGUUUAUUCAAAACCUGCCAAGGACUCCAGUUCAUUUUGUUGUCUUUUUAAAUAGUUUGUAAAAGGUUCCCAUUCUUCUUUAAAGUCACAGUUGUCCUUGUCUCAUAAUUUGCAUGUCAAUUUUGCCAGUUCUGCAUAGUUCAUCAACUUCUCUUGCCACUGUUCUUUUGUUGGGGUUUCCUCAUUCUUCCAUCCUUGUGCUAUCAAGACUCUUGCCACUGUUGUAGCAUACAUAAAGAAGUUCUUUCUUUUCCUUGGCAGGUCUUGUCCUACUAUCCCUAACAAAAAUGCUUCUGGUUUUUUGUAUAAAUGUUAUUUUAAACAUCUUCUUCAACUCAUUAUAUAUCAUUUCCCUUUUUU